UGUACAAGGGGAAUGACGGCUGAGUCCCAACAUCUUCCGCUGCUUUAUCGUUUUCUUCUUCGUCAUUCACAUCAUCAGUUAGGGUUUUCAGUUCCAGAAAGCUUAGAAUGGACAAUUGGAUUCGUAUUGUAUUGCGAAGGCCCUUCAGCAAAAGACCUGCCCCAUUUGGUUUCUAGGGUUUCAUGGUUUUGCAGUAUUAGCAAAGAUAUUGAUUGCUAAACAAAUUAUUCGACUAGCAGUAGAUAACAACAAGAAAACAUCUGUGAUGUGUAUUUUUCUGCUGUGGCUUUGGUCCUUAAGUGGAGUUUUUUUUUUAUUUUUGCAAGAAGUUUAGUGAAAAUCUGAGUGAAUUAUUGAUCAACCCGUGGUCAGGGUUGAAGUAAAUAUCUGAGCCUGUUCAAUCCCUUUUCUUUGUUAGAUAGCUUAAUGCUCAUGCACUUUGGUUCAUCUGUAAUUAUCACAAUGUUCCCAAUAUGUAGGAACCAAUAUUAUGCAGCAAAUCAUCUUUAUAUUCUAGGAUUUGAUGGCCCAAUUAUGGCCCCACAAUCCAUUAUAGCCAUAUGUUCAACCCAGGUUAUGAAGAUUAAAUAGAAAAACAUAAUGGCAUGCCAGAUAUAUGCUUAGUGUUUUUAAAUUUUGUGUAAUGUAUAUUUUAUGGGUUCUUCUUAUAUGCUAUGAUGGUACUAAUCUUUGUUUCCUUCUUGACUUGUGUUUUGAUUUAAUGAUACCCAUGUUAUUUAUAUAUCAACAUAUAGAAUUUGUGUAACUUUGAUGCAUUUUGCCACUCAUUUGCUACAUGAAUCUAGGGGUCAGCCAGAUUUCAUACAACGGCGUUCCAGGCCAUUGCCAUGGCACCAUUUUUGUGGACGGUCCAGAUUUGUGCCCCCUAUCGAGAGGUAGAGACAUGAAGAUGAAGUUAUAGCUGAAAGAGUUCUUCGGUGGGGUGCUAGCAUAUACAAGAGAGGCUUACAAGCAGCACCCCUUUGUUUUCCAUCCAAGCCUUCAUUACAAUAGGUUUGAGGGCUUUCUUUAAAUUAAAUCUCCUAUGGAUUUAUCAUGAGAAGCAUGUGUUAUCUAUGGGCAAUCCUCCCCAUUGAUUCCCUGGGGGCUGCUUUAUCAUGAGAAAGUAAAUGGUCCCUCUACUAUAACAGAUGGAAAGCUCAAAAUAGUGCCUGCUUUAUAAAAGGUAACAAUUAUGCUUCCAGAUUUCAUAUCCAAUAUAUCGGUUGAUACUGACAGUAUUGGUCUUGGGCCCCACCUAGAAAGGGAUGUCAAGCUUGAAAAAGAACUCAGGGCCACAAACGAUAGCACUGGAGAUUAGACUCUACACUUGGUUUGCUUCUUUGAAGUCAAGUGCUUAAGCUGCAGAAGGUUGAAGACUGUUACAUUUAGCAGAUAGCACUGCUGGACCAUUUGGUGAUGCUGAUGUGUGAAGGAGGCUUUAAAGUUCUUCAAUUCGAGUUUAUCACUUGACACACUCUCUUCAAUCUUAUGUUAUGUGAUCUCUUGGAAAAAUAAAUUUUUUCAGACCUCAUCCUCUCCAAAAUAAGUGUGUCUUUUCUUGAAGGAAAUUUUUUUGGUGUAUUUUUAUUCAAGUGCGGUCUCCUUAUGGAAUCCAUCUUAGAGAAGGAUUUUGAUUCUAAAAUUUCACGAGUCGAUGAUCUAGACUAUGGCGAUCAUGAAUCUGAUAAAAAAGAAGGGGAAACCUUAAAAAUAAAUAAAUUUAAAAGAAUUAACAUGAAUGGUAAAAAAAUGUUCUAAAAACAAAGUCUAAAAUCAUCUAUUUUUUAAAUAAAAAAAUUCAGAUUCAAUAUCAUGGUGAUUGAGAUAAUUGACAUUUUAAAUCAAUGUUAUCAAGAUCAAACCGGACACCGAAUUGGUGAGGGAUCUGGUCCAGUCAAAACCGUUUCGGUCACCAAUUGAACCACUAGUAUCGGAUUUUUAAAAUAAAAAAAAAUAGAGAUGAUAGUUUAAAAACACAAUAUAUUGUAAAAAGGAUAUACCACUUUGUUUAACCAGUUUGAUUGGUCAAAAUUGACUGGCCCACCUCUCAAAAUUAGUCAAAUAUUGGUUUUGAUUGGUUUUUUACCGUGCUUGAUUUUUGUUUUGGACCAGACUGGCCAAGGCACUGGUUGGCAUCUCACUUGUCGGAUCAGGCGGUUUGGUUUGGAUGUGAUAGUUAUGCUUCAAAUCAUAGUUAUCAAUAUUGGACUUGACCAGCUGGUCCAACCAGUUGGGCUGUUGACCGGUGCCUUGGUGGGUGUGGUUCAAAGCAAAAAUCAGGUUUAGUAGAAAGCCGGUCAAAACCAAUGUUUGACGAAUUUUAACUAGUUGGACCAAUCAAUUUUGACCAGUUCGAUCGGCUUAACAAAGUAGGAUAAUUUUUUAAUAUAUUUUAUAUUUUAAACUAUUGUUUUUAUUUGUUUUUUAUUUGUCUAAAAUCCUUUUCAAUUGAUUCAACCAAUGGUCAGACCGAUUUUAACUAGACCAGAUCCCCCACUAGUUCGAUGGCCGGUUCGAUCUUGAUAACAUUAUUUUAAAGUUUAAGUCAAAAUCCAUUUAAGGUGGAUUUCGGAAAGUGAUCAUACUUGAAUAAGGUGAGUAAACUGACACAUGAAAACCACCUCCUUUCUCAAAUUUGUCAUGUUUUGGUUCUAUCAUUCAAUAUUGAAGGCAAUAAGCCAAAAAAUUUCAGACAUCUUCUUGUGGAUUAACAAUUAUUGCUAAAAUAUUUUCGCCCAUAAAUAGGACAUUCACAAGGUUACUAUCUCAAUGUGGGAGAAUAAUAUGAAAAAACCAGUAUAGACUGCUUUGGGUGGACCAAUGAUUUAAAACGGCCCAUCCUAUUUGGGAAUCAGUCCAGUUGUUUUGGGCUUUAAAUCAAUGGGAUGGAGUAUGCAUACUAGAGUAAUAAGGUGGGAUGAGCAAACCGUCAAAAGAUACUGAGUUUCCAAUGGAGUGUUAGUACUAUUGUGACCAAAAUUUUUGAUAAAUCGUUCCAUUUCAAUGUCCCCAAAUGACGCUCUAUUCCCGAAUUAAUUUCUCAAUUAGGAUGGAUCUACCCCAGGAUAUCAUGAAACUAUAGUGUACAUGUUUAAAUUUAAACCAAAAUUUGAAUUUACCAAUCAUCUUGUCGUGAAACUUUUGGUAAAUGGUUCGUUUCAGGCUUAGUUAAACUCUUAUGUCAUAUGUCUGAUUGCCAGGUGCCCUCGGUCUAGCAAAUCGCUCAUAAUGUGGAAUCAACUUGGUAGGUUUUGGUCCAGAAUUUAAGUCCUUUAGGACUUCCUAUAUGACUAUGCCCUCAUUCCCAUUAUUCUCUGGGCUUCAAUCCUCUCUACUUUCAUAUGAAGCUCAAUUGGUUAAGAAAAAUCCUCAAGCUCGUGUCAGCACCUCAGGAUCGCAUAGAGGUGAUUAUGGCCGAGACGUUGAUGUCAUGGAAGCAAAGGCCAUAUUCAGGAUCAACUGGGCAUUCUUGGAGCCGACCCAUCCCACUGUCAAUCUCUGCGUCAACAACCACAAGUGGCUAUGCAAACACGUAUAACUUGCCAAUAUUGUGGACGACCUGGUCAUGUUGCUAGAUAUUGUUCUGCCUUAGCCCAUGACCUUGGUAACCUGUCAACCGCUGCUCCAACUUAUUGAUCUUGGGUUCUUGACACAAUUACAAUUGCUCGUAUGAAAGAUGACAACUCUCAAGUUCGAGGUAUGGUUCCUAUUACAAUUCUUGCAUUGUCUUUAUAGGAGAUGGUAUAGCGCUUCCCAUAAUUCAUAUUAAAACUGCUUCUAUUUCCACUUCUCUUGCUUCAUUACAUAUUCCCAGUGUUUUACUUCUUCCCAAAAUAAAGAAGCAACUCUUAUCUAUAUUUAAUUUUCCAAAAGAUUUCAAGUGUUCCUUUGAAUUCUCUCCUUAUGGUUGUGAAGGACCAACAAAGCCAGGAAGGUAAUUGCUAUUUGGGUGAUGGGAGAAGGCAUAUUUGUACUCCAAGAUAAAAGUCCCUUUGUUUUGGCUAUGUGCAGUUCUAAAGCUAAAGGAAAACUGUACAUUUUGUGGCAUGCUUGUCCGGGUCAUGCUAGUUACUCUAUUGUUCGUGGCUUGGGAAGAAAGUCAGCUCUCCCAAACUUUGUUGUCAAUUUGCCUUUUUGCUCCUUGUAUUCAUCUUGCCAAUUAGGCAAAGCUCUCCCAAACUUUGUUGGCGAUUUGCCUUUUCGCUCCUUGCAUUCAUCUUGCCAAUGAGGCAAUCAUUAUGAGUUUCUUCUUAAUUAUUUUGAUAAACAUUCUCCUCUUGAUUGAAUUCACAGUGUUAUUAGGGCCCAGUGCCAGUUAUUUCCUUUACUGAUUCUCGCUUUUAUGUAAUAUUUGUAGAUUACUAUACUUGAUACGCUUGGAUAUAGUUUUUAAAACAAAAUUCCGAUGAAUUUGAUUGAUUGCAUAAUUUCCAUGCCUUGGUAAUUUUCCUGCAAACUUAAGACAUUCCAUUAGAUGGCGCUGGUGAGUUUACUUCUUAUGCUUGUAAAGAAUAUUUAAGUUGUCAUGGAAUUCUUCAUCAAGCACUGCCACAUUGAUGAAAGUAGUUGAUCCCAGAUUAACCUGAUUUAUGCAAGUGGCUUGCCACAAUUACUUUUUAUCAAGUACUACCCAGUCUUUCAAAUAUCCUUUGCUAAAGCAUUUUAAUAGUAAACCUAAUUACUCCUUCCUUGAUACUUUUGGAUGUGUUUGUUUCCCACAUAUUAGUGCGUACUACAGAAACAGAUCAUAAAGCUCAUGAUUGUGGGUUUUUUGGGUUGGUUUAAACCAUAAAGGUUGCCAGUGUUAUGACUAGGUAUCUCAUUGUUUCUUUGUCUCUAGCACGCAACCUUUGAUGAAACGAGUUUCUAUUUUAAUGAACAUUGCCUAACAUCAAACUCAGCAGCUAUCUCUCAAAGGAAAUAGUUGUGCCUGUAUCAAUGCCUUUUUGUUUGCAACACGAAGAACAUUCUCAAACUUCUGUUUCUCAUGGAGAAGUAGAUGAGCCAGCUCAGUACUCUCAUUUUGAGCAAGAAACUCCCCACUAAGACAGGUGUGAUCCACAAGCUCUUUCCUCGUUAAAUUUUAACUUCAUUCUUCAUACUUCAUCAAGCUUGGAUACUUCUUCCGCAACCAUACCUACAUCAUUGGAGGAUCCUACUGUGGUGCUAUUGUUGGAGAACCUGCAUACACCAUAAUGUCACUCUUUUUGCUCUCACAUCUUCCGAGAUUCUUAUAUUAUCAUGGUCAUUUAGUAUUUGCAAAUUUCAACUGAGCUUUCUAAAUUCAAGAACCAAUCCCCUAUGAGGACACUUACUUUGGCACUAGAUGGUUAGCAUCUGUGAAAGAGGCACUCAUGAAGAAUUACAUGGGUGUUGGUACUGUCGCAACAUGAAAGAACGUUGUGGGCUCAAAAUGGAUGUAUAAAGUCAAUGUCAAAUCAGAUGGUUCAAUUGAAAGAUUAAAAUCAAGACUAGUGGCGAAGGGGAUUAAAUAGGAAUAUGGUCUUGACUAUGAUGAAACCUUUAGAACAGUUAACGUACCCCCUAUUUGAUGCAUCUUGGAUAUUUGCUUCCAGAUUUUAGUUGGAAGCUUCACCAACUUGAUUUGAAAAUGCCUUUCUUCAUGGUGAACAAAAGGAGGAAGUAUACAUGCUGCAUCCUAGAGGAUUCGAGGAUCCUUUAUAUACCGUUAUACAUGCAAACUGAAGAAAUCAAUUUACGGGGUCGAGCAAGCUCACUGUUUAGCAAACAUUGGUUGAUUGGCUUUCUACCAAAUCCAAUUUCUACAACAGACCGGCUAAGGCACCAAUUGGUGGUCAGACCAGCCCGUCAAGUUUAACCUAUGGUAUGGUUGUUGUUUCUCUUGUGUUUGAGUUAUUCGUUUUUGUGUUGGGUGCAUUUGUUUUGGUUUGGUUACCGAGGAAAUUGGAAAGGAGAAAUAGGUGGCCAUAAUGCGCUUGUACAAAACAAGAAGACAAGAUAAGAGACACUGCAAGAGGCAGGAGAAAAUCAUCUUCCGAGCCCUAUUGCCAUUAUAUGGGGAGGCAGGGUAAAAUGAGAGGAAAUUUAGGGAUAGUGUGUAAGAGGAAAUUGAUUUCAUAGUGUCCUAUAAAAGAAUUAGAAAACUACUUUACUUGUAUAUCCCUUAAAUUUCAUUGUUUGGU